GUCCCAAUAAGCUGAUGGCUUCUUUUCGGGGAAGACUCAAGGUGGCAUUUAUACAACUGAAACAUAAAUGCAUAUUUAUAUAUGUACAUACAGACGCACGGAUAUGACCGCAUACAAAUACACUAAAAUACAGACUGUGCUGUCAGUAUUUAAAUCAGGCAGCAAAAACUACAGAGUAUCAAAACCAACGAUGUCUGUGGACAGUUGAAACUGCCAGUCAGCUGAGAUGGAAGCCAAUCAUGCAUACACGUGCACAUAACUUAGUCCAGAAACUGCGCUGUGCGAAAAGGAUACAGAGUCAACAAUUGGAUUAUAACUGCUGGACAUGUAAACAGUCUGCGAAUGAGAAUAACAUCCACAUCCACCAUCCAAUCUACCCAUCAUACCCCCAAAAUCUCCUCACACAGUUCUCCCAUUACAGUAAGCCUACCUUUCAGAGUUUACUAACAAACACAACUUAUGCUGAUAAACUGAUAAACAAUUAACCCAAACCAUAAUCUCUUACUCAAACUAACUUCACAACUUAACUCACCCCCUACUUCUACUCUAAUAACCAACAUCAUGAUCCUCAAAUCUCUAUCCCUACUUACUCAAAUAAUAUUUCUAAUUAGGAAACCAGUGCAAAGGCAAGAAGUGCAAAAAAUUCCCAGUAAUAGCGUAGUAAAACUUUAAUAACCGCUUUCGUCUAAAGACUUCAUCAGAAUACAAAAUAAUAAAAUCAGCCUGCUUUAAAUAACACUCCACAUGAACAAUUAAACAAUUAAUCAAUUAAAAAAAUGUAUAAUUGUU